rnacentral:rRNA from 1 species
UGAGCAAUCUGCCCUUCUCUUCGGAAUAAGCGUUGGAAACGACGUCUAAUGCCGAAUACGACCUCCUUUCGCAUGAUCGGAGGUGGAAAGCUCCGGCGGAGAAGGAUGAGCUCGCGGCCUAUCAGCUAGUUGGUGUGGGUAAUGGCCCACAAGGCGACGACGGGUAGCCGGCCUGAGAGGGUGACCCGGCCACAUUGGAACUGAGACACGGUCCAGACUCCGUACGGGGAGG